AUUGAACGCUGGCGGCAUGCUUUACACAUGCAAGUCGAACGGUAACAGGUUAAGCUGACGAGUGGCGAACGGGUGAGUAAUGCAUCGGAACGUGCCCGAUCGUGGGGGAUAACGCAGCGAAAGCUGCGCUAAUACCGCAUACGAUCUGAGGAUGAAAGCGGGGGACCGUAAGGCCUCGCGCGAUCGGAGCGGCCGAUGUCAGAUUAGGUAGUUGGUGGGGUAAAGGCCCACCAAGCCGACGAUCUGUAGCUGGUCUGAGAGGACGACCAGCCACACUGGGAAGGAGACACGGACGAGACGCCUGCGGGAGGAAGCAGUGGGGAAUUUUGGACAAUGGGCGAAAGCCUGAUCCAGCAAUGCCGCGUGCAGGAAGAAGGCCUUCGGGUUGUAAACUGCUUUUGUACGGAGCGAAAAGGUCCUUUCUAAUACAAGGGGCUCAUGACGGUACCGUAAGAAUAAGCACCGGCUAACUACGUGCCAGCAGCCGCCGUAA
rnacentral:rRNA from 1 species